UGGCAGCUUUAGUUCCAAUAUACUAAAAUUGGAUUGAUACAGAGAAGCUUAGCAUGGCCCCUGUGCAAGAAUAACAUGCAAAUUUGUGACGCAUUCCAUAUUUUU